GACGAACGCUGGCGGCGUGCCUAAUACAUGCAAGUAGAACGCUGAAGCUUGGUGCUUGCACCGAGCGGAUGAGUUGCGAACGGGUGAGUAACGCGUAGGUAACCUGCCUGGUAGCGGGGGAUAACUAUUGGAAACGAUAGCUAAUACCGCAUAAGAGUAGAUGUUGCAUGACAUUUGCUUAAAAGGUGCAAUUGCAUCACUACCAGAUGGACCUGCGUUGUAUUAGCUAGUUGGUGAGGUAACGGCUCACCAAGGCAACGAUACAUAGCCGACCUGAGAGGGUGAUCGGCCACACUGGGACUGAGACACGGCCCAGACGCCUACGGGAGGCAGCAGUAGGGAAUCUUCGGCAAUGGACGGAAGUCUGACCGAGCAACGCCGCGUGAGUGAAGAAGGGUUUCGGAUCGUAAAGCUCUGUUGUAAGAGAAGAACGAGUGUGAGAGUGGAAAGUUCACACUGUGACGGUAUCUUACCAGAAAGGGACGGCUAACUACGUG
rnacentral:rRNA from 1 species